GGAGGCAGAUCAUUGUUUCUGCCAUGUUCUAGGGGAGGCAGGACCACGAAGAAUGUUCUCCUCCAAACCCAGUGGAGUUUACUGUUUCUUAGCGUCUUUAUCCUGAUCUGGCACCUUCUAUGCUGUUGAGAUGUUUCUUGCCUCCCCCACUGCACCGUAAGUGCCAAGAAGACACAGCCUGUCCCUUUUUGGCUGUUCUACCCAAGUUUCUGGCAUCGUGCCUGGAAUAUAGGAAUGUUCAACAGAUGUGAAAGAAUAAAUUCAUGAAUGCAUUCUGUGUAUCCAGAUGUGGCAGAGAGAAUCAUGGAUCGAGUAAGUGAUAAAGUGCACCUUUGGAAAGGCACUUUGAAUGCUUUUAUGAAUAUUAGAGAUGAAAAAUAUCCUCUAGUAUGUCUUGAAGUAAUGGCAGUAUAUAAAUCAAAUAUACUCAAUCUGCUAUUUUUAUCUUCCUAGAUUAAAUAUAAUGUAUUAGAAAUAAGAGUCCAUUCUACUUUGCUAUUCUAAAUAAGUGAGAGACUCUUGGGGGUAGUGCAACUAUAAUUAUGAGAACAGAAUUCAGCUGAAAUGCUAUAAAGACACUAUAUGAAUGUGUAGAAAAGGCUAAACUUGUGUUCAUAGCUCUCAUGUCAAAUUAAGAGGCUCACUUUGUUUGGUUUUCCAUCUUGACUAACUUAUUGAUUAACCAUGAGCUAUAGUAACUUACAAAGUGCUUUAUGUUUGUGAUCAUUGUGUAGGUUAAUUAUUAUUGUCUUUGCAUUUCUUGGAUAUAAAGAAAAGUUGAUAGUCUCUUUUUGAAAAAUCCCAGUUUCAGGAUCAGUAAGUAACAUAUCGGAGAUAGCAUUUUUCAUGGUCUUCCAGGUUUUUAUUAGUUCCUAUUAAUUCCUCAAGUCUCUGUUGUCAUUAAUACCCAGUAGGAAAUCACUAAGCACUGAAGGACCAGGAUCCGUGGCUUGGUUUUUUAGGUUCUGUUUAUGGACCUUGUGUAAAACCCUGGACUGUAGGUCCGAUCUAGAUUGCCACUGAGUAUGGCCCCUAGGGGGUGCACUGAAACCCCCAAACUACUGUAGAGAAAAAAUAUCCCUUCUCUUCCUUGUUUUGCAGACAUUGGAUUAGUUUUGUAAAAGGGAGAAAAUCAGAGGGAAACUUUAAAAAAUUUCAAAAAAGCAAAAUUUCAAAAAAGCAAAGAAAUAUAUUUACAGUAUAUAGUUUACUGAUUUAAAGUAUAUCUAUGGGUGAGUUUGAGUAGUGUGAUUGAGAUCAGGUAUGGCAAAUUCAUGGCACACAAGAUGUAAGUUCACCCUCCCCACGGUCAUGUCAGAUAGAACUAAUCCACUUUAGAGUCUCUGCAUAAAGUGACUCCAUGGCCAAGAUGAGACUUGUCUGCAAUCACUGGCUUAUGUCAUCAUGAGAUCUUUUCAUUUGUUAUAACCUAAGCCUCCCAAAACCUGCUUCCUAGGUCGGUCCCUGGUCCGAGGCUGUUCUGCUGCUCUGCACCUGCCUCUUGAGGUGUGAAGGACAGACAGACAGACAUGUGCAUCAGACUUCAUGUAGUGAGGAAUCUGGGGAUUCAGAGGUCCUUUGCUGUCAGGUGUCUGUUUUGCUCUCACCUAAGAGAUUUCUGUGGCUCUAAGUCCUCAUAAGCCCCACCUCCAAACCAUUCCUCUUGGCCCAUUUCGGUGAAUCUGUACUCAGCAGGUGUCAGACAUGGGAUUAGAGUUUCAAAAACACUCUGUUUCAAGGUUCGAGUCCCCUUCUGUCUCCAUUUAGGCUGGGCCGGUAGUGGAGAUCGGAUCACAGCGGCCUUAUAUACCAUGAAGGGGACUUGAGGUUUUAUCUUGUAGGUACUCAAUAAAUGCUUUUGAAUGAAUGAAUAAUGAGUCAACGUGGUGCCUAAAAAGAGAACGAUACAUGUGGAACUUGGUUUCUGAGUCACAUGACUGGAUGGAUGAUGGUUUUGUUCACCUCAAUAGGUAAUGUUGGAAGAGGAACAGCUUUGAAGAAGAAUUUAAUGCGUUGGGUUUGGGCACACGGAGUUUGAGGUGUCUUUGAGCUGUCAAGGUAGAGAUGUCCUCUGGGCCAUUAGAGGUGUGGGCCUGAAGCUUUAGCAGGAAGGUCGUCCAGGAGAUAGAUUUAGGAGAACUCAGCGCACAUAAGUUAGGUGAAUCCAUGUAUGUAAGUAAGUUCAGAAGACAGUAGAGACAACGGCUUAGUCAGCUCUGGCUGCUGUUAGUGAUUGCCGCAGACUGGGUGGCUUAAACAGUGGGAAUUUAUUUCUCACAGUUCUGGAUGCUGGCAGAUCCAGGGUCUGGUGAAGGUUUGCUUCCCAGCUGGCAGGCAGACAUCUUCCCGUUGUAUUCUCGCCUGGUGGAGCGAGGGCGAGACUGCGUGGUAUCCCUCUUUCUCUUCCUUUAAUACCGGUAAUCCCAUCAUGGGGGCGCUACUCUUAGGAGACCUGGUUACCUCCGAAAGGCCUCACCUCCUAAUACUAUCUUAUUGGGGGUUAGGAUUUCAGCAUAUGAAUUUAGGGGGUACACAGACAUGCAGUCUCUAAUAGAACCCUAAAAAAUAGCAGCAUUUUAGGAUGGCCCAAAGAAAGAGAACCUAAAGAGGACACAGAAGUGACAGAGGCAAACUAGAAGGGCCAGUGUCUGAACAUCCAAGAGACCCUCCUUCUGGUGGAAGUGAUCCAGCCCUCAGGGCAUGCAGGCAAGAUGGCCAUACUCUGAACUCAGGGAAAGUUCAAACCCAUCUGGGCUCAGAUUCUCUACCCUCUAACCCACCACCCCUGCCUCUUCUCUUAAGAGAGUAGUCGGUCAUUCAGAAUGCUAUCAUAAUUUUACAUUCCCCCAGUAAUAGGAACCCACAGCCUGUAAUUUCCUUCCAGAGAUGAGGUUUGGUAUGUCUUUAUAAAGCCCAUCUAACACAUUUUUUAUAACUAAAAAAAAAAAAAAUAGAUAACACCUCAGUCAUUUUAAUUAAAAAAA